rnacentral:rRNA from 1 species
UACGAAGGGGGCUAGCGUUGCUCGGAAUCACUGGGCGUAAAGGGUGCGUAGGCGGGUCUUUAAGUCAGGGGUGAAAUCCUGGAGCUCAACUCCAGAACUGCCUUUGAUACUGAAGAUCUCGAGUCCGGAAGAGGUGAGUGGAACUCCGAGUGUAGAGGUGAAAUUCGUAGAUAUUCGGAAGAACACCAGUGGCGAAGGCGGCUCACUGGUCCGGUACUGACGCUGAGGUGCGAAAGCGUGGGGAGCAAACAGG